CUCUCUCUCCCUCUCUCCCUCUCUCUUUCUCUUCCUGCACCUCAUUCCCUCUCUCUGAACCUCUCCUCACCCCUAUUUUCAUGUUAGGGUUCGGCGGCGCGGCGCUUGAUUAGGGAACGACAAGUUGUUGCGUGCUAUCUUCGCGCUUGGGUUCGGCGGCGCGACGCUUGAAUUCAGAACGACAAGUUGCUGCGUGCUUCUGCGCGCUUUGAUGGGGUCAAAAGUGUUAAGGAAGCGAAACCGGGACAAAGUUGAGAAUGAGGAGCAGAGUGUAAAGCAUAAGAACAGAAUUGAGAACAAGGAAGAGGAGCAGAGUGUAAAGCAUAAGGACAAAGUUGAGAACAAGGAAGAGGAGCAGAGUGUAAAGUAUAAGAAAUCUAAGGAUCAUGACUAUAGCAAAAGGAGAAAGGCCUGCAGAGAAGAUUACCACAGCUUGGGGCACCACGAACAUAUUGGGCAAACGAGCCAUGACACCAGCCGCACCAAGACUAGGGAAGACAACCAGCACACAUUGACAGACAAUUCAAAAAACAAAGAUAGAUCACACCGGAGCCACAACAGAGGUAAGAGCCAUGGACAGCAUUGUGACAACAGAAGAAAACACGACACUUUCUGGAGGCAGGAGGAGUUCAGGAACAGCACAAGGGCAGGCGACAUCCGUAAUGAGAGAAGCACAGAUUGGUGGAGUGACAGAUGGUGCCCCGAAAAGCCAAUGCCACAGAGAGGUGACACCAAGGGGAUGGGGCUCAGGACAAUGAAUGAUAACACCUUUGAGCACACCUUUGAGCAUAUCACCACUGACUGGAGCCUAGAUAGAUGGUGUCCAAAACCAGAAAGACAUGAGAAGGAAGACCAAUGGCCAAGUUACAACAAAGAGACUGACAAGAUGCAGAAGCAGCAGCAAUCAAUAAAUGUGUACAGACACAAAGGAGCUGCUGCCAUUCAGGUUGAAAGAUGACAAAUGCCCUGUGUAUCACUCAAUCUAAAAAAAGUUCAGCUCAAGGCAGGCAAUUGGCAGAGAAGAGUCUUACCCUAUCAGAACUGGAGUACUCAACAGAAUAUGAUUCCAGAGUUCAUGGAUGGAGGAAAGGCAAUCCAGAUUAUGUCCGUAAGGAACCUGUGACCAAAGUUUACACGAAGCAAAUACCUUAGAUGAGGAGUUGGAAUUGGAGCAAUUGCUGGUGACAGUUGGAAUUUGAGCACAAAUUGCUGACACAAAUGACAGACUGAAGAUGGGGAACUGCUCUUUUUUCCUGUUCUGCCUUUGAACUUUAUAAUCUUGUUGCUAGUUUAAAAGUCGGUUUGUUGGUUGCUUCCACCGGAACUUCAGGAGACCACCAGAACCCCAGCUCGUUUAGUUCCAGGUCUUACCGUACUCUCACGUCUGCCUCUUAUAAGGCUGAUACAAUACUGAUCUGUGGAGAUUUUCCUUAGAAGAGGUCUGGUAAGCUUUGGUUUUCUUGUGACAAGUGUUUCACUAAGUCAGGUGGAGGGAGAGCUGGCAGUUGUAAAGUAGGAUUCAUCAGUUUCACCUGCUUUUCUAUGUUAACAGAACAGAUUGAAACUUUGUGAGGUGUGUUGAAGGGUUUCUGAAAGGUAAAAAGGGUUAGUUUGCUGCUGCCAUUGUUGGAUUUGAAGGGAGGAAGGUUGAAACUUCCAUUGAGGUUUGUAGGCCUGAAAAUCUUGAGCUUGAAAGUUGAAGACACCUACCAUUUGGGUUGAGAUGGGCACCAUUAAACUGUGCUGCACUUGGUUCGAUGAGAAAGAAGGAUUAUUCAUUCCCUCAUCAGCUUUCCCUUUUUCCCCUUGAGCGGAUUUUUCACCAGCCCCUUCUGGAGUUAGCUUGCUAAAUUCCAUACAAUCAUCCCUUGGUGCAUUGUUUGUUGAAGUCUGGUUGUUCGGAACAAGCAUUAAUUGCAAGUUGCCUGCUUGACGAUUUGAAAUCCUAAAUCCCAAUUGAGAAGAUGCUAAUGGGCUCAAAGAACCUGUUGAUUUUCUGAAAGAAAUCUCUGAAAGAUUGAAUAUAUGUAUUGUGAGACUUAUUUUCUUGUUCCUCCCUAGCUUCCAUGGGAAUUUCUUGUUCUUGAGUUCUCCAUUUACCAUAAACAUCAUGAGAAACUUUGGUCGCAAAUCUUCAAAGUUUCUCAUAAUACACAUAGACUUUGAUUUUGUUUUCUGG